rfam:Danio rerio chromosome 23, GRCz11 reference primary assembly.
UGAAAACGUAUUUGUAAGUCUCUUUGGAUAAAAGCAUCUGCUAAAUGACUAAAU